AUUGAACGCUGGCGGCAGGCCUAACACAUGCAAGUCGGACGGCAGAACAGAGAAGGUUGCUGCAUGGGGGGCGAGAGGGGAGAGGAAGGGUAAUAUAUCGGAACGGACGGAGUAGAGAGGGAUAAGUAAUCGGAAGAAAAGCCAAAAACGCAUAGAGGGAGAGAAGGAAAGAAGGGGAGAUUCGGGGCUAGCGGAAGAGGAGAGGCCGAUGUCGGAUUAGCUAGUUGGUGGGGUAAAGGCCUACCAAGGCGACGAUCAGUAGCUGGUCUGAGAGGAUGAUCCGUCACACUGGAACUGAGACACGGUCCAGACUCCUACGGGAGGCAGCAGUGGGGAAUUUUGGACAAUGGGCGCAAGCCUGAUCCAGCCAUGCCGCGUGUCUGAAGAAGGCCUUCGGGUUGUAAAGCACUUUUGUCUGGGAAGAAAAGGCGUUUGCUAAUACCUUCAUCUUAUGACGUUACCUGAAGAAUAAGCACCGGCUAACUUCGUG
rnacentral:rRNA from 1 species